AAAAAGUAUGUAAAGCCAUGAGAAGAUAACCAAACAACAGAGUCAGGUUGUGGAUGCAGUAUCUUGGCUGGGAAAACUGAAGUGCAGUGAGCCAAAGGGAGAUAAAAGUUUAUGUAGAAACAAACAGUAGAAACCUCUUACAUUUAUAUAGCACUUUCAUAUCACAAACCUUUUCAGAUCUGUGUUUUUCUUUUACCCUUAUAAUAGCCCAGGAAGAUGGGAAAAUUGUUACCCCCAUUUAACUGACAAAGGGUUUGGCAAAGGAAAGUCCCACCAUGAGUUAUGAUCAGAAUCUAAGCCUGGUUUCCUGACUCCCUGUCCUUUGUUUUUCCUAAAGAGAGCUCAGUUGUUUUAUUCCAGGGCUUGCCUAUUAUGGGGGGUGGGGGUGGGGGUGGAGUGGGGGUCUUAUUCUAAGAAGAAAGAAAGAAUGAGAAUACCUGCAGUGUGUUAGGUGAGGGCAUAUGGUAUUUAAGUGAAUAAUAAUAACAGGAAUGAGGAGAAGUAGGAAGGUGGGGAGGAGGAGGAAGUGGAGAGAGCAGAGGGGUGGCAGGAAGACAGGGGAGAACUACCACUCCUCUCAUUUAUGAAGAGUCAUCUGUAGUGUAAACACUAUACUACACGUUCAAUGAUUCUCACGUGUCUCGUGUAAAUUUCAUAGCCCCUUGAGAUAGAUGCUAACUUCAUUUUACACAUGAGGAAACUGAGGCGAGGGGAGGUAAAUAUUCUGCCAAGAGCACACACUAGUAAGCGACAGGGCCAGGAUCUGCACCUAUAUUGUCCAGCUCCAAAGCUUGACUACUGAGGUAUUCUGUGCUGAAAGAGCAUAGUAGUCUCUAUUUGUGUGAGAUCCUAGGUGCCAAAUGUGUAUGGGGUAGGUGUGGUGAGAAAGUGCUGAUCAAGGCCUGGUGCACCUUAAAGACCUCUCAACCCCCUGUGGAACUGGAUGAAACCUGCGACUGUGGCCCAUGGUGACACUUUCUGACCCAGCUAACCAACCCACUUCAAAACAGUGCUUCUAGCUUGCAGGGCAGUUCUGCCCUUAAGGCUGUUUUCCCAGAGGAGGUGGGCGCCGCUCCUAAAAAGCAGCUUACUCAAGGCCAUACAGGGACUCAGCAGUCUUGGGUCUACUGUAGGCUACUGAGGUCUGUGGCUGUCUCUCUGCACUUUCUUCUUAGCAGGUGAGUCUUGCUCUUUUAUAAAGAAAAGUGGCGACAAGCCACUGCCAUAAACCAUAACUCCAGGCAAGUUGGCUGAGAAAUUAAUGAUCCACAGCAUCUCUCUGAAGACAAAACAUCUCCCCAAACCCUCUCCAUCCCUUCAUCAUCUCUGUCGGAGUGCUUCUGCGACCCCUCUUACCACAGAACUCAGGUGCACUACAGAUUUAUUACUGCCUGCAACUUCCUUUUUUAGAGAAUUAGCCAUCAGAAUCAACGGAAUCAACGAAGGUAGUUUGGUUCCUCUCCACUUGGAUAAAUCACGCCAUUUUGGAAAGUGUCUCUGGGGGAGAAUUACAGUCUGGGAAAGUAGGAGCUUUCGUUAGUUUGUUUUCUUUUCCCCUCAGCCUGGAAGGGAUUUUGUUCCUAAUGCUUUCUUCUAAUGACCAGAUUGCUCAUUAUUUAUAGGGUAUAAUUUUAAGCUUUACAACUUGCAGCCAUUUUAAGUUGGCAAGUGUACCCCUUCUCCUAGGGCCUCUGUCUGCUGAUGAGUCCUCAGAGAAUUGUAGGUUCCCUUCUCAAUACAUAAGUAAGUAGGACCAAGCUGCAGAAAUCUUCACUGCUGAUCCCAGUCUGUGAAAGAAAUCUGUGCCCUGCCUUCUGUGGCUCUGUGUCAAGAAGAUCUUUAGGAUUGGCCUCCAGAAGUGGCAGGUCAUCUCAGAGAACUUUAACAUGUAUAUUCAUUGAUUCUGCAAGGUCAGAGUAAGAGUGGCAGGGGCAAGAAAAUCUCCUGAAAGCAGGAUCGGUUUGCGCUCUUGCUACAUUGAAUUUUGGACAAGUUGUUCAUGGAACCCCUCUUGAGUCCUGGUUUCCUCAUCUGCAGAGUGAUUACAACAACCAGACCCCCAUUUUAAGAUUGUUGGGAGUCCAAAGUGAGAGGAUACAUGUACAGUGUUUAGCAAAGCUCUUGGCACCAUGCCUGGUUCAAUACAUGGUAAUGAUUGUUACAUUAACUUUACAGAGAAAUAAAGAUUGGGUCAUUCUGUGGUCAACCAUGUCCUCUGUGCCAGCAGCCAUCCAUUUGUUAUUCCUGUGAAAUUCUAAACUUGAUUGAUUUUAUAUUUAUAGUAUGUUUCAGCCUCUUUAGCUAUUAAUGCAUUAAAAUAGGUUUCAUUUUUAUUUCAGAUAAAUUGCUGAUGCUAUAAAUCCUACUUUCUCCUUGCAUUCUAAGGAGAAGAAGAAAGGGACAACGCUAGUGAGAGAAAUGGGGGCUAGAAGCAAAUGUCUUAGGGAUCAACCUGUCGGAGCUCUGAGAAAUUUCCACAUGUGCUCUGAACUCUAUGUCUGCUUCCUAAAAAGAGAGAGCUGAGCCGUGUUUGGUGGCACUUAUUGGGGGGAUGCUGGGUGGUGUUGCCCUAAUGUCCUUGUUCUAGCAUCUGGAAUAAAUGCUGUUCAGUCCGUAUUGAAAUUUGGCGAGGGCUGCAAACGCCCCUGUGAUUACUAGAAAGAACAGACAUGCUGUGUAAUUUAUAAUUAUUUUCCACCGCGGACUUCAUUGCUGGCCAGAGGGAGGACGGCGGCUGGAAGGCAAAGCUCGCACAGUCCACCCAGCUCCAUGCUGGCAGAGCAUCAGAAGCAGACAAAAGGAAAAUACUAAAUAAUUUAGGUGGAAAGUGGGUUACUAAACCCACAGGCCUGGGCGCAUAUUGCAUUUCUAGUAAGAUAAUGCCUUUUUCUCUAGUUAGGUAAUAGUUGUAAGUGGAAGGGAAGGCCAAGCCCCAGUGGUCGGAAAGCUUCACCACAGAAGAAAACUCAAGGGAGACACUCAGCGCCACUGACCGUGUGGCCCAAGGUGGCUCAUGUAAGUCUCCAGAGCCUCUUUCCCCAGGAAGGGGCCGGCUCGGCUUUCCUCCUGCGGGGCACGCAGCUGCAAGGCUUUGGCCUGUGUUCUGGAGAGGCUCCUUCUGAUGAGUUCUGAAUAUCUAAACUGCGAGGGAGUCACAUUGGGAACAAUGAGAAUACAAAGGGAGGCCCUUGCAGCAAAUCUUCAGAAUAUCCUUAACGUCUCUGUCUGGUCAGAAGGAGUUGUAACAGUGGAGAGGCGGCCCGUGGUCUGUGGAGCUUGAGGGAAUGAGAGGAUGGUGGUGGAGGCGCCUGGCAUUCGGGGUCGUGCAUAUUACCUGGUUCGGGAGCAUGCGGUGACUACAGCUCUCUCCUAAGUCGGGAAGCUGGUGCGGGCCAGCACCUUGCAUACUCACCCUAUCUGGUAUUUAUGAUUGCUCCUCCAGGACUCGCCAGAAGAUAGCUCCUAGCAUCUGGGCUUAGCUUGGGAGCAACAUUGGGCUUUACAUGGUCUUAACCUUAAUUGGAGGAGUAAUGUCAGCAGGGGUUGCCAUUCUGUUCUGAUCUCAGAAGAGGCCUGAGCAACUGGGAGACGUGGCAGGAAGGAGCUGCUGCAAGUGAAUGCCCUACGUAAUGCAUAACGCAAGCCUGGGCCCCAAAGUGGACUGACGGAGACUCAUUUUCUCUUCUCUUUGGAAAUAGGAGGCCUCAAAAAUUACUAUAUGAGCUAGCCCCCUGACAUCCACUUCCUUUCCCAUCGCGUCCACUCUUAUCUGCACCCCUGAGUUAGGUCUGUAGAUGACUGCCUAACCCUACAAUUAGUAGAAAAGCAAACGUCUUUCCAAUGAUGCAUUCAAAACAAAAGCUAUUUGCUGGGCUAUUUUAUUGGCAAGAAUUUUCUUUUCAUGGGCAUGUAGGCUGGUUGUCACAAAAGUUUAUAGUAAAUCAACUGCAUUUUCUUUUAAGACCCUGAUUUUUGGGGCAUCUGGGUGGCUCAGUUGGUUAAGUGGCUCAGGUCAUGAUC